CGAAGGCUGCUGGUUACUCUACACAAACUGUUGGUACGGCCCUACACAACUCAUUUGAAGGUGGAGAAGUUGAGCUGGUAAGCUACAACCCGGUGACCUACAACGCCGAGCUUCCUGCAAGAGGAGCUAGUGCAGCAUUGGCACAAAGCUUACGGAGUAACCCACCGAAUCUGUUCAGAUUGAAGGUUUAUAAAACUUUCCAUUUGCAUUUUCGAUGUGAUUAGCUGCUUUUAAUUACAUCUAAAGCUUCCUUGCCAAGUAAUGAUGAGAAAGCACAGAGAAGUCACAGCGGCGACGUACGAAAGGCCAGACAGGCCUCGGAAAACUGCUUCAAGUGCUAAUUAUAAAUAAUUUCCUAGCAAAUCCUCCAAAGAACUGCAUGACAUUACUAAUAUUCUUUAAGGUUUGCAUCUGAUUUGAUCUUACUUCUUAUUAGUUGUCUUCUCUUUUAUCCAUAUUGCCCUUUUUUGGAUUUAAGAUGUAAUUUUUUCUCUAAAAGAUAUUCUUUCAUUGUUCCUAUAGAAAAGGCUCUGGGCUAACAAUUUUCAGUGAAUAAUAUUUAUUUGUGGAUAAAAUUUCAGUUCAAAACAGUUUUUGCCUUUUAACACUGGAAUCAUUAUUUUCCAACUCUCUAUUUCUGAAGGGAAGUCAGGUGGUUUUCUUUAGGGGUUUUAAUAAUUUGUUUAUUCAGGAAGCUCUUUGUGAUAUGUGUAGACAAAGAGAUGUUCCCAGAAUUGUGUAGAACCAGCAUACCUGACUUGUGGGCAGGGAUGAGUCACCUGGUUAGAUGACUAGAAUUGAAAAGCUUCAUCAUUUCUUAUCACUCUGAAAGAGCUGAAUAACUUAAUGCUUUUCUGACUCGAUUUUCUUUCUUUUUUUCCAGAUUUACUUUAUAUUGUUUAUGUAUUUAUGUUUUGUCCACAUGUAUGUCUACACACCAGAAGAGGGCAUUGAAUCCCACGGGACUACAGUUGUAGAAGGUUGUGAGCCACUAUGUGGUUGCUGGAAAUUGAACUCAAGUCCUCCGGAAGAGCAGCAGUGUCUUUAACCACUGGGCCAUCUGCCCAACCCCUGUCUUACUUUUCUUGAAGAGUUUGUCUUUUUUCCAACUGGCUGGAGCAGAAGACUGUUUGGAAAUAACAGAAGAGCUGAAGCUGUAUCUUCAGUUUCUCGUAAUUGAAAAGGAAAGGACAGCCUGCAUUUGCUAAUGAGCUGGAUACAGAUCCAGCCUCUUCCCCGGUAGAAUACCAGGACAUGGAACUGAGCCACAGAAUAAGGCCUCGAGCCGAGAAUAACAAGGAUUUUGUUAUGUUGUCCACUCCAGGACCCAUUCUGCUAUUUUCAUAACAUUCUAAAAGAUUUCGCAUCUGCAAGUAAUUAGUUGCAAAAUAAUCUAUCUUGGGACUGUGGGUUAGUGAGGGGUUGGGCAAUAGAAGUUCCAACUGUGGCCUAGCAACGUGUCAGUCUUGUGUUCCUUCUGUCUUUGCCUGCUUGUGAAACUGUAAAUACAUUAUGUAGGUACAGGCUGGUCCUGCUCUGUGAUGAGCAUGGCCGUUGGUCUGAUGUAAGCUCCCUGUGUACAAAGGUCCUUCUGACAUCUUGAUUCUUUUCCACAGCACCCUGAGAGGCAAGAGAGGUUACGAUUUUUAUCUGAUGGUGGCAUGGUUUUCUUUUGUUAUGAAUUUACAAACAGUUCAUUAAUUGUAAUGACACACAGAGAAAUCCACAGAAAUAAAUCAUUGUGACAUA